AUUGAACGCUGGCGGCAGGCUUAACACAUGCAAGUCGAGCGGGGUGAUGGUGCUUGCACUAUCACUUAGCGGCGGACGGGUGAGUAAUGCUUAGGAAUCUGCCUAUUAGUGGGGGACAACAUUUCGAAAGGAAUGCUAAUACCGCAUACGUCCUACGGGAGAAAGCAGGGGAUCUUCGGACCUUGCGCUAAUAGAUGAGCCUAAGUCGGAUUAGCUAGUUGGUGGGGUAAAGGCCUACCAAGGCGACGAUCUGUAGCGGGUCUGAGAGGAUGAUCCGCCACGCUGGGACUGGGACACGGCCCAGACUCCUACGGGAGGCAGCAGUGGGGAAUAUUGGACAAUGGGCGGAAGCCUGAUCCAGCCAUGCCGCGUGUGUGAAGAAGGCCUUAUGGUUGUAAAGCACUUUAAGCGAGGAGGAGGCUACUUUAGUUAAUACCUAGAGAUAGUGGACGUUACUCGCAGAAUAAGCACCGGCUAACUCUGUGCCAGCCGCCGCCGUAAAAC
rnacentral:rRNA from 1 species